rnacentral:ncRNA from 1 species
UUUUUCGUUGAAAAAAGAGAUUAAAAGGGAAUCCUGUGAAAGACAGGGACUAUCCCCGUAGCUGUGAGUUUCAGUAAAAGUCUGUUCGAUAAAUGCCACUGGAAAUUUCGUAUAUGACCGGGAAGGUGUAGCAGAUGAAACAAGUCAGAAGACCUGCCGUUUGUGA